rnacentral:lncRNA from 1 species
AGCGUAUGAAGUGCGACGAGCAAGGAAUAUAGAUAAAAAUGAGGGGUAGAAGGUGGUCAAUAGGCAGCAGGCACCAAGGAGCUUUCCACUGUGGGCUGACCGAGGAAGCUGCCCUCUUACUGAAGAUGAGCUUGAAAAAGAUCAAGGAAAUGAAAAUAAAACAAAAAAAAAAAAAAAACAAAAAAAAACUUGCAAUUACACUCUUCCACCACUAGAUGCUAUACACGUAUAAGCAAGAUAAAAGUCCUCCGCCAUUUCUUUUCCCCAUCAGUGACCUCAGUGAUGAAUGGAAGCUCUGUUUGGAUGGACACGUGGGGGUGAUCUGGGACAUAGAAACCUGGAAAAGCUGAUGAAAGCUGAUUUUCCCUUGAAGAAGACAUUUGGAAUGAAGCAAUGUGACCUUUAAUCACCCUCAGACCUCUUUUUGUUCUUGUUCCAGGACAUUCUGUAAAAGGUUUUGCUUCACUUGGAUAGGAACCAAGCCAGCCACAUGGAAAGAAAAAUAACUUG